GAUGAACGCUAGCGGCAGGCCUAACACAUGCAAGUCGAGGGAGGAGCCUUCGGGCUUCGACCGGCGUACGGGUGCGUAACGCGUAUACAAUCUGCCUUUCACAUAGGGAUAGCCCGAAGAAAUUUGGAUUAAUACCUAAUGGUAUAUAGAUGUGGCAUCACCUUUAUAUUAAAGCUGAGGCGGUGAAAGAUGAGUAUGCGUUCUAUUAGCUAGUUGGAGAGGUAACGGCUCCCCAAGGCGACGAUAGAUAGGGGUUCUGAGAGGGAUAUCCCCCACACUGGUACUGAGAUACGGACCAGACUCCUACGGGAGGCAGCAAUGAGGAAUAUUGGACAAUGGUCGGAAGACUGAUCCAGCCAUGCCGCGUGCAGGAAGACGGCCUUAUGGGUUGUAAACUGCUUUUGCAGGGGAAGAAUAAGGACUACGCGUAGUUUGAUGACGGUACUCUGCGAAUAAGCAUCGGCUAACUCCGUG
rnacentral:rRNA from 1 species